AGUGAACGCUGGCGGUAGGCCUAACACAUGCAAGUCGAACGGCAGCACAGUAAGAGCUUGCUCUUACGGGUGGCGAGUGGCGGACGGGUGAGGAAUACAUCGGAAUCUACUUUUUCGUGGGGGAUAACGUAGGGAAACUUACGCUAAUACCGCAUACGACCUACGGGUGAAAGCAGGGGAUCUUCGGACCUUGCGCGAUUGAAUGAGCCGAUGUCGGAUUAGCUAGUUGGCGGGGUAAAGGCCCACCAAGGCGACGAUCCGUAGCUGGUCUGAGAGGAUGAUCAGCCACACUGGAACUGAGACACGGUCCAGACUCCUACGGGAGGCAGCAGUGGGGAAUAUUGGACAAUGGGCGAAAGCCUGAUCCAGCCAUACCGCGUGGGUGAAGAAGGCCUUCGGGUUGUAAAGCCCUUUUGUUGGGAAAGAAAGCAGCAGGUUAAUACCCCGCUGUUCUGACGGUACCCAAAGAAUAAGCACCGGCUAACUUCGUG
rnacentral:rRNA from 1 species